GAUGAACGCUAGCGGGAGGCCUAACACAUGCAAGCCGAGCGGGAUUUGUUGGUUAGCUUGCUAACUAACAAUGAGAGCGGCGUACGGGUGCGUAGCACGUGUGCAACCUGCCUUUAUCUGGGGGAUAGCCUUUCGAAAGGAAGAUUAAUACCCCAUAACAUAUUGAUUGGCAUCAGUUAAUAUUGAAAGCUCCGGCGGAUAGAGAUGGGCACGCGUAAGAUUAGCUAGUUGGUGAGGUAACGGCUCACCAAGGCUGCGAUCUUUAGGGGGCCUGAGAGGGGGAUCCCCCACACUGGUACUGAGACACGGACCAGACUCCUACGGGAGGCAGCAGUGAGGAAUAUUGGACAAUGGGUGAGAGCCUGAUCCAGCCAUCCCGCGUGAAGGACUAAGGACCUAUGGUUUGUAAACUUCUUUUAUACAGGGAUAAACCUACUCUCGUGAGGGUAGUUGAAGGUACUGUAUGAAUAAGCACCGGCUAACUCCGUG
rnacentral:rRNA from 1 species